AACGGAGAGUUUGAUCCUGGCUCAGGACGAACGCUGGCGGCAUGCCUAACACAUGCAAGUCUAGGGGUAGCAAUACCACUGGCGCACGGGUGAGUAACACGUAGGUUAUCUGCCCCCAUCACAGACAUAACCCCGGGAAACCGGGGCUAAUAUCUGAUGAGGUCGCGAGAUCAAAGCUUCGGCGGAUGGGGAUGAGCCUGCGGCUGAUUAGCUAGUUGGUGAGGUAACGGCUCACCAAGGCGACGAUCAGUAGCUGGUCUGAGAGGACGAACAGCCACACUGGAACUGAGACACGGUCCAGACUCCUACGGGAGGCAGCAGUGAGGAAUAUUGGUCAAUGGG
rnacentral:rRNA from 1 species